GGCAGUUCUCGGGUGGUGGGUGAUGCACCCUGGAAUCGGGCUCCCUCCUCUCUGGUUCCAGGUGCAUCCCCGAGAACCGCA
rfam:Myotis brandtii contig298722, whole genome shotgun sequence.